CAUAACAGCCCCAAUUGUUUUCCCUUUUUUAAACUGGCAAACAGGCCCAAUCCGUUCUACCCAACCAGCCCACCAGCAGCUCCCACCAACACACCGACCCAACAGGCCCAAUACCCCUGACCCGCUCCAAGCCCCGCUCCCAUUCCCUUUUUACCCACAUCUCAAUCCAAACAGCAACAUCAGUUUUCAACAAACAACAAUUAACGACAACAGCCAACGACUUCAAAACCAGGACCAACAAAUUCAACAUUGUCAACUGCAAUCUCGACAACAACAACCAGCGAGUCAACAACGGUGACCCCCCAGACGCCCUUUUACUAUUUUGCCCCUCCGUUCAGCCAUCUAUGGCAAAAAUUAAAUGGGUUACUCUUUCUCAGUCUUUGAUUCACCAUUUCGGGUAAGCAAUUAAUGCCCAACGGCUCUCUACUUUGUCUCACUGUGGAAUUCAAAGUUUCUCAACAAAUCAACUCAAAUUCCCAAUUCGAAUGGUUUCCUCGAGAAUUAAUGCCCAACGGCUCUCUAACAAGUUGAAAACGAAACUCCGGCGGUGGUAAGUCUUUAAUCGACUCGCAGUUCCAGUUCGCUGCCCCGGGAAAGCAGGAUCUGUCGACAUCACACUUGUAACACAAGAAGGAGUCUUUUUUCCAUGAUCAGUUAAAAAAGCCUUGGAGACCCACUCCUUUGUUGAAAGUUACUCUACACUUUUCCCUUCUUUUAUGUUGUUCUUCUCCUCAUUCACCAUCUAUGUAAUAUUAUUAUUAGUUGUUGCAACUGAUUGUUCUUGAAUAUCAUCUGUCAGGGGUUGAAAUAAAUUCUCAUUGCUUUUAUCCUUGUUAGGAGUAACUUCUUUCUAACUUAAUUAACCUAUAUUGAUGAA